GGGGCUGUAACUCAGUGGUAGAGUGUUUCGUUUGCACCAAAAGCUCGAAAAAGUCCAGUGUUCGACUCGCUGUUGCUCCA